CACGAGGCACCGGGAAAACGGGGUCACGACGUGCCACCUUUGAGACAGGAACACGUCUGCGUCCGUCAUAUGCAGACCAUAUGUGUAUGCGAGAUGACGAACUAGGACGCCAUUAAAUAGCCAACACUGCCCUCUAAUCAACAUAUACAUUACUAAUUAUUAGAAACUAGCCAAAUACUCACUCCAACAUAAGAUGUUUUGGAUGUUUUAUUUAUUGUAGACUAGAUAUGAGUGAACAAACACAGUAAAACAUGUCUAUAUACAGUUAAUUCAGAAAGAAAUACGCUAAAACAUCUGGAAUAUUGUCUUUGGAGGUCGAGCUCCAUGGAGCUUGGUUUUGAAAAAAUCAAAAUUCAUCAGCUUUCAUAUUUUCUAUGUUUCAAAAAAUUCUGAAAAAAUACAUAUAUAAAUAAAAUCAUAACACACAUGUGUGUAAAUUUUCAGAACAAAAUACGUUAAAAUGAGGAUUGUGCAAAAAAGACAAAUCUGAAUCUUUUUAACACAUGAUACUAUUCAUCAUCCGAGUCCAUGGAAUUGUCUUUUUUGUACAAGUUGCAUUUCAACGUUUUUCAUCCUGAAAUUUUACAUGCAUACACAUAACAUUCUUGUUUACUGGCACGUUUUUUUUCCAGAUUUUUUUGAACCCAAAAAGUUUGAAUUUUGAUUUAUUUUGAAAAAAUGCCUUCAUGGAGGCAGAGAGCCAAACUUCCGUUCUCAAAAUAUCUUAUAUUUGUGAGCAGAGAAAACUAGAUCUCACAUAUCUAUAUUUUGAGGAUAUUGUUUUCGUCGUAAAAGUUAUCACCUAGUGAUUUAUGAAGUUACCACUCUUUUUUGAUAUUAAAGUAUUGUCAUUCAGCUUACUUGCUUAGUUUAUGUCACUGAUGAUGAGUCUUCGACACAAGUGUGAAAGUGCAAAGUAAUAAGGAUGUUCUAUAACACAAACACUAUCAGGUAGUCACUCGUUUGUAGAAAUAAAUAACCACCACCAUAGUGAUGACAUUGGUGAUGUUGUUUUAGUUAUCACCAGGAUGGUGAUGCACUUACAAGAGAUGGUACUAACACUGAUGUUGUGUAUAGUUACAUUGAAAACAACACAUUUGUCAUGUCCUUCGCUGAAAACUUAUUCUUUGAUGUAAUUAUCGUGUUUUAGUAUCACCUUGGUGGUGCAAUGACGUGACAUGGUAACCACCCCUUUAAUAUAUUAUUAUAUGUAUUUACAUACACAUUGAUCAAAUUUGUAAACAGGAGUAGUAUCACGGGGAUGGUAGUACGACUAUAUGGUAAGUUGAUACAAAUAGGUAACUAGUUCCAUAUUACGCGCAAACAAACGUGUUCGGAAAAAGUUUUUUGAUGCAUACUUCAGUGAAAUAUAGCUUUGAAGUCAUUGUCGAUAUAAAGGCAACACGAAAAAUUAUAUUGUGGAACUAGCGGAGGGUUUUAGCUACAAAACUUUAUUUAACAAUCAUGAAACCAAGAAUUAGUGGGCUGAUGUCAUCAUCUUUUGUCCAUGUAUGUGUUUGCAUAGCAACUAAACUUCCCCUAUGCACACCUUGUAAUUUACCUUUUCUAUCAUGCCUUUGUAUACACGCCGGAUAUCACAGAAAAGAAAACUUGCUAAGACAACAAUUUGAACAUUCGACCUCUUAAUUUUUUAANNNNNUAAUUUUUUAUUAACAUCUGUUUACACUUUGGUUCAUGAGUUCGUUGCACAUACUAUAGUAUAUUAUUGUUACGAUAAUUCCUCACUUCUUUUAUAUGUUCUCAUGUCUAGUCUUGCAGCAUGUUGUUGCUGUUGUCUCAUGGAUGCAUGCUUCUAAGAGAAAACAUGGAUCGCGAUAUGGAAGACUUGGUACAAUAGUUGCGGGACGUCAACAUUAGUUCAUUUAGACCCAAGAGUUUUGUAUCCAUUACUCAACACAAUUACAAUUGUGUUGAGUGCACGUGUUCGAUGGAACGAUGAAAGUUAGUUCGUUAGGUUGGUAUGUUGUAGUUUUAGUAAUAUAUUUAGUCAUUGACAAAAAUGCUAUCAUCUAACUAAUAUAUCCAUAGAUAUCAAUAAAUAAGGUUGUGUUUGCCACUUAGGUGAAUAAUGAUAAUCUGACUGUUGAAAACCCAUUUUGUGUUUUUUUGUUUUUUCGCUAACUAUUUGUAUCUGCUUUUAUAGAUGUUUUUCAUAGUAGAUUACAUAAUAUUAAUAUUUUUU
rnacentral:lncRNA from 1 species